rnacentral:lncRNA from 1 species
AAAUUCAUUUGUUCCAAUGCUACAAGUCUACAACAGUACAUCACAAAAAAACAAGUAACAUCCUAAACAACAACAAACAACAGACACCGGCAAAGCCAUUCACCAUGCUGAAGUGUAAGAGGGCAGCUACGAGCUCAACUGAACAACACCACUAAUAAUGGAGUAAAACUUGAAAAAAAAAAAAAAACCCAAUACCGAGACUUGUAGGAAAAUUGUGAUUAGAAUAACUCCCUCAGUCUAUACAUGCCUAUAGGUUUAGCAGUCUCCUAUUCUUGGUCAGCCAAACAAGCACCUUCUGCCCAUAGAUAUUGCUGAUCAUCAUUUGACUGUUCCUUUCUAUCAGAGCAAUUAAACCUCUUUGGACUUCACCCUGCUCUUGCAAAAAUGGGAAGAGGACAACAAGUGAUCAAAACCCGCUUGAUUUUGUGCUUAAAAUAUAUAUGCUUGAUACAGUAAAAGAAAAAAUAAAAGGUACUAAACCUAUACUAGUCAUGCAUGAAGUAGGUAGUAGCAAAGUUUUGGCGAGCUUGGCAAAACUUCUCGAAAUUUUUUCGAAAAGCACUGUGGCUCUUCAUAUUGAUGGAAUAUAUUUCAUAAAACUAUUACGUGAUCUAACAACCAUUAAAAGGCCUAUUAACUACUAAUCAUUGUCAAAAUGGAAUUUCAACAAAUGCAAGUCUAAAACCAUCAUCACCCCAGUACAGAGACUGAUUUUGAGUUAAGUAGUCUACCACACGAAACAAAGAAUAGUACACAAUCUCUGAGAAAAUCAAAGAUGUAACAGACUCAAUUCCUCACAGAAAAAUAUGUCUCUCAUGUUGAGAAUUGACUAGAAUAUAUUCAGACCAAUUCAAGCAGUUUGAGCCUGGGAAAUCCAGAUUGUCAAUACACUCGCACUAUAAAGUUCAAUUAAACAACAUGAAUGGCAUAUAGAAACAAUUUGAUACUGAUAUUCUCAGUUAGAUACGUUGAAGAAUAAAGUGAUGCUUACUAUCUGCACAUUACACCUGGUUUGCAGUUAUCCAACAAGCAGGUGAGAUAUAUCUUGGAGUGCAAUGAUCUAACCUGAGAUACUGAUAGUGCCUUCUGGAUAACAAAGUUUCCGAAAGGAUCCACAAGGAGCAUGGAAGCACCUGGAUUGCUUAGCAACUCCAAGAUUAUUUGUGUGGAUUGAUCCUCACUUGUUGUUAACAAGCACUUCUCCACAACAUUACUUCCAUACUUGUUACAUGAAAGAGCCAUGUAGCUCCCUUCAAACUGUGUGAGGAGAUUUUCUGUGAUUUGUGGCAUCUUUAAAUCCAGAAUAUGUUGCACUACAUAGUUUCUAGAGAAAAUUAUGGAAAAUUACAAGAACCAUAUUAAGUUAAUAUUACGCUUGAAUGUGUAGUAAAGCAUUGAUGAGGUUUAGUAAAACAAACCCAUAAUGAUCUUCAGCCAGGAGUAGUGCAUUUGCUAUGAUCUCAGCUACCAGUCGAUCUCUGUGUUCUCCCUCAGAGUAUUCAACACAUCGCUGCAGCACACAGCAUCCACUCUUGUUGGUUGCAAUCUCAAAGCACUUUUCUGCCACCUGUUUCAAAAUAUACUGCAAAAGAAAAUCCACUAUCAGAUAAUCAUGAAGCCAAAAUAUGAUUUGGUUUCAGGCAAUAUUUUAAUUGCAGAAUAACAGCAAGUCUAGCUUGUUGAAGAUAACAAGUGCAUCAAAAAAGAGGAUUACAAGUGUUAGAGCAAAAAGUUCCAAUAUCCUGUAAUUUUAAAGCAGAUUUUGGUGAUGAAAUACCUAUAUUUCCCUAUUUCACAUUUUAUGCAAGUCUAAUUGUGCAACUACGUUGAGAUAGAAUGCCUUGUAAAAGAAGGUGAUGGACAAAAACAAGAAAGUGAGGAAAUUAUGAUAGAACGUUAGAGAGAAAGAUAAGAGAAACAUGAGGCAACAGACAUAAAAUAACCCAUGGUAAAUAGGUAACAUUAUGGAUUCAAAUGAAAAGUUUUAGAAAGCUGUGGAUCCAACCACGGCAAGAUCAAGUAAAUUUCCAUUAUUGCAGCCUACAAACUACCAUAAGUUUUUGCAAGCUUGUUGAUGUUCCCAAGCUUUACACCUUAAUUCAGGUGGUGGAGAUGUAAUGUUUAUAGCUAUAUCCUCCCCCCAAACUGCACACCAAUGAUUAGGCACAGAAAAACGUUUCACAUCCAGUCUAAAAAAGAGCUUGUAGAAAGGAAGAACCUUGCAAAGUCCCAAAGAUUCAAAUCCAAAUCAAAGCAUAACAUGUGGAAGUCCUGAUAUUCUAAAGAAUGAACUAUGAAGAGAGCACGGAAUAAACAAAUAAUUAAAGACAGGAGAAAAUCAAUACAAGCUAUACGAAAAUAAGGGUUUCAUUUUACAAGUUUUUAUGAAAUUUCUGAAAAUUUUGCUAAAAUUUUUUCAAUUGUUAUAGCAGGUAAGGGUCAAAGUUGACCCAAGAAAUCCUGUGCUGAUAUUUUCAAACCUCAGUCAGCUAUAUAAUUAGCUAAAGCAGCCAAUCACUUUACUUCAGAAAUCUCUGAUAUGGUGUUUACAAUAGCUCACAUCAGAUGUUCACGACAACUAAAACAAGAGAAUUUCAACUUGCAAAUUGAUUUGAAAUUCUAUUGCAAUUUUUUUAAAAAAACAGGCGCAAAAUCAGAAGCAAUCAGAACAGAAGCCAUAAAGUUAUCAUAGAUCCCAGCCAGAUGAAUAAUGAGUGCAACCAGUAUAUAUCAAGUGCAAGCAAUGGCAUAAACUUAUACUAAACUUCUUCAAAAGAAACCCAACAAAAGCCAAAGCUAUGGAAGCCUAUGACAACCCACAGAGAAGUUGCCAGCUAUCCUUUAUUGAGAAAAGUGACUAGAGUUAUAAUAGUGUGGGAGAAAAAAUUGCAGCCCUUUUCUUCCCCAUAAAAGAUAAAAGAUUUUCACAAUCUUAAACGAAAGAUUCCACUGGAAACGGUUAAAUAUUCAGGAUUUUAGGCUAUAGCAUAAAUGCAUAUACAGAAAGGAGAAUAUUGCAGUAGUAAUUGCACCUCUAAGAAGUUCAGGUGGAUGGGGAAAACUAGAAUUUGUUUAUAACCCAACUAAGUAUCCAUUAAGUAAAACUUAAAAGAUGGAAAAAUUGAAUUAUUCAAAGAUAGAAAAGGGUAUAAAAAAGAACUUAAUCGAUAAACAAAAUCACUUGACAGAGACAAAAUGUGAAAACAAGUAAAAUAAUCACCACGUUGAAGGGAAGUGAUGGAGCAAAUUAUCUAGAACACAAAUAGCAGCAGGACAAGAAAUAAUAACCCACAUUACACUCCAUCAGAAAUAUGAAAUAAUAACCCAGAUUACACUAUGGAGAUAUAACACAGGAUUGCAACAAACUAUUUGUUUUUUGGGGAUGGGGGGUUCAAUGAAUUGAAGAUCACCUUAUUGUCUUGAGGAGAAAAAUGCUUCAUAGAAUGCUGGAUCACAUGAUGACCAUUGGAAUCCUUUAUCAAUGCAACAGCACCUUGGUUUAGAGCUGAUACAACUAAAGAAACUUGCAGAGGGUUUGUAAUACAAUUCAACAACUUCUGUACAGCCCGAGUUCUAUUGCCAAAAAGAAUAAAUAAAUCAAUUCAGCAGUUAAUAUAGUAAGAAGAAACAAACUUAGCCGCUGUAUGUCAGUUUCUUUAAGCAAAAACAAAAGACAGAUACCACAUUCUCAAUUUGCACAGAAAAUAGGAAUGAAUAAAAUAACAGCCGAAUGUAUGUACAUACCCAUGCACAUCAAGACAAAUCCUCACGAGUUGAAAAUCCGUUCGAGUUAGCAUUCGCAAAACCCGAGUCCUCUGUUCCUCACUAAUCACCUCUAUAAGCUUUUGUACAACAUAAUUCCCAAAUGGGUCCGCUAUCAACCCCCCAACAUAGUCUAUCACUUCGUAAAACAACAUAUCAAUUUGUUCUCUUGUUGCACUCUCAAUAAGCCUUUGUAAGAACUUACAUCCGUGUUGAUCCUUAGCCAAUGCCACGAUCUUACCACUCAAAUCCUCCCAGGACACGUAAUCUUGUAACCAAGGUGGCCUCCUCCCAUAAUUCUGGCUUUUAGACACCAAAACAUUAUUCAUCGACCCAUAAUGCGAUUCUCUUUGCAUUAAUCCUCUCCGGUUGUUAAGGUUUGGAUUUUGAUACGCACCACCAUAAACGAAAGUAUUACUCCUCAAAUCAGAAUUAGAACCAGCCAUCAUUGGAUUGUGAACAAAAUCUUGAACCCUCGUAGCCCCGAAAGCAUUUAUAUCAUUGUUUUGGGUUGGCAAAAAACCAACCUGGCCGCUAGAGGCAAGAUCAUCCAAAAUUUUAAAAUCUACAACAGACCCAUUAAAGAUAUUGUCAUGAGAACCUGAAUAUAAAGUUUGAUUAUCAUGAGAUACAUUGAGUCUUAAGAAGACAGAUUCAAGAGUUUCUAGGUAGGGGUUUUGAGUAGAAGUUUCAGGGCUCGCAAGGCUUUGAUCGAUUAAACGGGAAAAGGGAGUCUCAGGGGAAAACGGCGCCGUUCCAGCAAGAAAUCUGCGGCGCUGCUGCUGCUGGUAAGGGUCCAUAAUUCAGGAUGAAAAGAAAAAAGAAGUGAGAAAAAGGCAGAUAAGGGUUGGGAGGGUUAUGGGUUAAAUGCAAGUUUUGAGAGGUUUGGGGGUUUAAAGGAGAGAAAAUUGGUGAUUUGAUUGGAGAAGAAGAUUGUUAUGGAGAGAUUUUACUGGUGUUAAUAGAGUUCGUAUGAUAAGGGAAAUAUAGUUGACUGGAAGAGUUAUAGAUGGAGAGUGAGACUGCAAGUGUGAGAGAGGCAAUUUUGCAUGCUUUUUUUGGUAAGUAUUCAUGCAAGGAAGGAAAGAAACCUUCAAGUGUUUGUGUCCUCUUUUCUUUUCUUUUCUCUUCCCUUGCCUUUUUCUUUUGUUUACGCGGCGUAUGUGUUUCUUCUGCUUCUUGUGGGUGUCCAAAUAGGUUAACAAAGCAGCAAUUUUUUCUUACUCGUUCUUUUGCCCUCGCAUGUGUAUUCUGUGCCUUUAUUAAUAUUAUUUUUUUUUUCUUUUUUUAAGGUUGUUUCUGGCCUCCUGUUUAUCUGGGACCCAUCGUUGAGGUUAUGGGAGCUCAGGAUUGUAAGACUUCGACGUCCAAUUUGGGCAAUUAGUAUUCAAAAUGAAAAAGAAAAGCGAAUUAACACGGCAACAACAAAUUUUAAAGAAAUGAAAUAUUUUAUGUAUGUCACCGUUUAAAGAGGUGAUAUUUAAUUAAAUAUGAUGUUUGUAAAUUGGGAUAUCAAUUAUAAUUUUAUUAUAAUUUUAUUGUGAUUCAAAACAUGAUAAAAUUAUAAUUAAUAGUGUAAUUUAUGAUCUCUACAUUAAUUAAAUUACCGGUUGGCACUGAAAAACAGAGAUAAACUACCAUGUGAACAAUAAGUUCUUAAGAUUUUAACUAAAAUCUAUUCUUGAGUCUACAUGUUAGAAAAAGAUAUAUAUUUUAACUCAUAAAAUAUAUUUUAAAAAAAUAUUUUAUAAAAUCAUAGUUUUUGUGUGAACCGAUCAAUAUGUUUAUACAAUUUUCUUGAUCGGUUCAUACAACUAUCUCGAUUGACCAACCAGUUGAGUUGGAGAAUAGGUAGUGAGGUUUUUGCCCCAUCUAAAUCUAACAAAAAAAAAAUAUGAGACUUAAUAUUUACUUUGUUAAUAUGACAUUUAAUUUAGUUAAUGAUUUUAGAGAGUUAAAAAAAUUAUAUUUUUAACAAGAUUUGGAUAGUGUUUUUCCUAUAUAAAAACUAUAUCUAAAAUUUUGUCUCACUUAAAAAAACCUGUAAAAAACCAUAAUAACCAAACUCAACAAAAUCUCAUAUUUCAUAAUCAUAAGUAGCCCACGAAUGCAAAUAAAAAAACAUAUAUACAUGAAAAAUGAAUUUCAAUUACUUAAAUAAUACAACAUUCAAGCAAUUGAUGAAAUCCCAAAAUAUAUAAAUAUAACUCAUCUAUUUAUCUACGUCUACGACAUCUACUAGAUGAUCCGAGCUCAUUAAUAGCAUAACUCGAUCCGGCUUUUUAUACUUGCCUGAAUGGCUUCAUCCUCUGCCAUGACAUCAUCAAGAGUUAAUCUAUUUUCAAAGGUUUCAAGUCUAGUGCGACAAACAUUUAACCAUUGGGAUUCAUAGAUGUAACUUUCAUUUUCUUCGUCAAUAUUACAAAGUAUAAAUACGGUCCCUUAACCCUCCUGUAGCAUAAAGUCAACCUAAUAUUUAUAAAAUAUUAAUUUUAAAUUAAAAGAUCAAUAUAUAAAAACCAAUGUUUAACAUAUAUUGAUUAUAAUAUAUUAGAUUACUUAUGAUAUUUUGAAACUGCUGGAUAUGUUCGGGAACAUGCUCGAGAUCCGGAUUAAUGACUUGAUGUGUAAUAUUCAUGUGCCAAAUCAAACACUUCUCAUUUGUAAUCACAAGAUGCAUAUUUAUAAAUAUCUCAUUCAUUCAUGCAUCCCAUUAUGAUAUAUAAACUUUAAUGCAACUUAACUAAUUAUAAUAAUCAUUUUUACCCCAAUUAGUUAUAGCAUACAAAGCUUCACUCGUAUCGAUAUCGUUUGGAAUGUGUUGUCCGUUGCUGAACUGACACAUUACCUUAUAUGGAAAAUGUUGCUCGACAAUAUCAACAAGAUCACUGAUGCCUAUGUAUCCAUCCUAAUAGUGCAAAUAGCUAGAUAAAUUGUUAAUCUUUCAUUACCUUUAAAAUAGAAAUUUCUUAGAUACUAAACAAAUACAAUUCGGUGAAGUCAAGUUUUUUUAUUUAAAAAAUGACUCAAAAAAUACUUGGAUAGCAUAUUGCUUAUCUAGCUUGCUCCAAUAAAAUGUCAACUCAUGCUACCCGUUGUUAUAAUUCAAUUUUUUACUCUUAUUUUUUUAUCUAAAUAUUCUCAAAAUACAAAAGGUAAAAAAAUAUAUAUUCUUGAUAUAUUUGUAUUAUUUUCAGCAUCAUUUCAAAAAAAAUUAAAAUUUAAAAAUAUAUUUUCAACAUAUUUAGCAAUUAACACAUAUAUUUUAAAAUCAUUGAUUAAUUCUUGAUAUUAAAUUGGCAUUGAAGUUGUAUUUUUUUAAAAUAUCAAAAUAAAAAAAAAGUUAAAAAUAAAAAUAUAUAGAAAAGAAGACCAAAAGUGCAAGGAAAAAAAAUUAAAAAAUAAAGUGAAUUUGAUAUAUGGUCACCAAGCAAUUAGGAAAGAAGAGAGAAAAAAUUUUGCCUAUAAAAUGAUGAAGGAAUCUCACCAGAGAGGGAGAGGGAAAAAACCACAAAUAAUCACCAAAACACUCCCUCUCCCAUAAAAAGAAAAAACAACAACAACAAUAAAGAUUCUCAUGGAAAAAAACAAAAAAGUUUACCUUUUCUACAAACUCGCACUCUCCAACACAAAAAUUAAAAAAUAACUUGGCAGCUUCCACGAGAGUUCUUCGCAACGGAAAUGGAUGAUUGGGAUCACGCAAGCAACUUUAAAGCCUAGUUGUAAGUUGCAACUAACUACAACAAUUUCCAUUGCAUUUCCCACAUUAAUCCUCACAUGUUUCUAGUAAUUUUGACUUAUUAUCAACAUCGAGAAUCAAAAUUGUUAGUAGUGUAUUUUUUUCUUUGAUUCCUAUAUGCCUGAAAAGUUCGUGUGUGCUAAACCAAACCCAUUAUUAGAAAGCAUCACAAAAUGGUGACUGAAGUCAUUAACAAAAAAACUAAGUAGUAUGGCAAAAGAAUUGUUCAUCUAUACUGAUAUCACUGUAUAUUGUAAUAGUUCUUUGAGUUCUCUUCCUUCUACUUGGUAUGGUUGGGGUGGGUUAUUAGAGGGUUUGGAUUCUUUUAGAGCAUGAGAUGUGGCUCUCGGCUCAUGGGUUGGUGUUGGGUGCUCUGUGUUUAUUGCUCGGUUCUAUCAGUCUUUGCUGUUGGAUGGGCUUUGUGUUGAUCGGUUGAUUAGUUCUGUUGGUGGCUCUAGCAUGACUAGUGAGGACUGGUUUGGAUGGAGCUAGGGUGGGGGCUGCUUUUUCCCAGGUUUGAGAGAACACCAUCAUUGUGCAUUUAAUACACAGCCUACUUUCACCUACGUUGGCCCUCUGUUCAACACAGGGCACUUUUCAAUCUGCAUUGCCAGUUUAUUGAUCUCUCUUGCUUAGUUUCUGCUCAUGUCUUGAUGUAACCAGGUUCUGUUUUUUUUUUUUCUAUUCGGUUUCUUUCUUGGUUUGGCAUUAGUGGCUUUUGUGCUUCUGUCGUCAUUUCAUUAUGCCCUGUGUGGGCUUUUUUUGGUAUUUUUUGCUCGGCCUGUGUCCUUGAUUUCUUUCAUACUUUCACAUCAGUUGGGGUAUAUAUAACAAAAAAAAUUCUUAGUGGUUUUCCCUGCAUUCUUUCUCGCUGCUUGGGCUCCUGUUGCUGCCCUCUCAGUUUUGUUUUCUUGGUGUGUGCUCUUUGGCUUCUUUUUUUUAUCAUUAUCUUUUGACCAUGCCUUUUCUUAUGCAUCCUUUUUUUUGACAGGUUUUCUGACGCCCUGCAAAGCUUCUCAUCCUUUCAUUUGCUGCGUCUAUCUUGGUUUUGCAGGUGGGUUAUCGUUCUCUAUUGUUUUUUAUGGGUUGCCUUUUCUUGGUGGCUUUGUAUUGCUUGCUUGGCUAUGUUUGUGGUCUGUGAUUCUUUUUUUAUUUGGUCAUCAGAUGCUUCAUCUUCUUCUGUUUUUUCUUGCUUAUGUUCUGUUCUUUGCCUGUCUUUUUUUUUGCUUUUUUUUGGGGUGGGAACACUUGCCUUGUCCACUAACUGUUUGAUUAUAAGUUUGAUUAUCUCUUUACACCUCUUGCUUCGUGUCAGCUUUUCUGUGUUUCUUUCCUUUUUUCCCCUGCUAUGUGUGAAGGACAAGCAAUCCAUGGAAUUCGUUGGAUUGGUUGUGAUUGUUUUUGUGCAAGAGGUUUGAUCUUUAAUCUUGGUUUAGGGUCGUCAUUAAAUUAAGAUUAGGCAUGACCAGUGUGGUUACUGUGCUACCUUUGAUUUCUAUGUUUUUUGUCCUUCCAUUGUUUGGGAUGAGAGGCUUUCAACCAGCCAUCUUAUUUUGAAUGUUGGAGAGUGCACCACUGAGUUAAAUGUGUCAUUGCCAUGUCUAUGUGAAUUGUCAGUGCUUCGCAUCCAUUAAUUUGUUUUUUGUUCAUUAUUUACACUGAGAUUUUGGUUCAACCAUUUCUGUCUCAUAAGCUGGAUUUGUGUGCAUUUAUUUAGGCUCGCUUGAUGUUAUGUACAUAUAUAUCUUCUUGAAAUCUCGGUUGUUUGGUUGUCAUGUCAUUUUUUUAAAAGAUGGUCAUAAUGCUAGCCUACGUUUAAAAAUGUAAUAUGGCCAAUGAAGAUUGCCUUGCUCAUAAUAAGGGUUUCUUAAUGUUAUGGCUUGCUUUUAGACUUAGAUGCAACAAGCAUGUGUUAUGAAAUAUAGAUUAGAGACAAGCUGUGAGACUGGAGUAAUGAAUUGUACAUAUUUUUUUUUUGUUUUUCCUUCACACACAGACUUUUUCAAAGCUUAUACUUGGUCUAGAGUGUUUUUCAAACAUCACCAUUCCAGCACCUCCUUUUCUGCCAAUCUCCCCUGAUUCGUUUUUUUUAUAUGUGUGUUUGGGUGUUUGACCUCUGUCUUAUUCCAUAAAAUGGUAGCACAAAAUAGUUUAGCAGAGUUGGUAAACUGCAGGGAAGAAAAGCCUGCUCUUUUUUUAGUUGGGAUUAAGAGAAGACUCGCUGGAUAUGUGUGUGCAGAAUUAUUGUGUCCUAGAUUCUAUAUUUUGGGCAGCAAUCAAAGCUGUCAAGUUAUAUUUGUGAUUUUGAAAAUUUAGUGAAUUGGGUCAUUUUAUAAUCUUUUUAAUCUAUUUAGGUUUGGGUUGAGAGAUUAAUGAUCCUUUUUUUGUUAAGAUUUUCAUUGAUGAAGGGAUUGAUCAAUAGAAUUGGAUGAUCAAGAGCCAUGAACCCUUAUGAAUUAAUUUGAGAAGCUACUUUUGAGUAAAGAAAUGUGGUUCUGAAAUUAUAAUGUACAGUGUGGAUAAGAGCAUCAUUGUGAAUUUUACGGGAUUCUUCUACCAGUCUCAUGGCUAUGUAGGCAUGCUUUUGAUGGAUAUAACUGACAAAAGUGGUCAGCUAGGGAGGAGGGGUUGAGGUAUGUGUUUUAUACUGAAGAUUGAGGUUAUAAAAGAAUUAUGGUGAUUGAGAAUUAACAUGUUUUUUUAUUGCUGUCAAUGCAUGUUAACUUUAAUGGUGCUGGGAAAUCAACUUUGUUUUAAGAUUAAGCUUCAGAGCAUGAUUAUUUCAUUAGUUGACUCUGGUAAUCUAAAUGAGUUAAACGUUUGCAUUGAAAUGAAAUGAAGUGUGGCUAAAUCUUUGCCUACUUGCACGAUACCCUUGCUAUGAAAAGAUCAAGACAACAGUCAUAAGGGGCAAUAUAGAGGAUUGUUAUUGGUUAGAAUUUUCUUGGUUGCACAUUUAGGCUUUGGAUAACUUUCAUGAAGUUGCCAUUCAUUUGGACUAGAUAAUGCAGCCUUUACAAGGAUUAUCAUGCUUAAUUCUUUGAUGUAUGAGACUAUGACAGAUCAAAAGGUGAUAUUAGAUGGAGAUGACAUCACAUUAGAUUUUGGCAAGUGGAGAAAUUCAAGGAAUGGCUAGAAAUGAGAAUCAGAUUGUGAGAGUUAGGGACUAUACCAUAAUCAAGAGAAACUGUCCACCUUUACAUGGUAAUAUAUUCAAGUUUUCCAAAUGUUGGAAUUUUUUUAUGCAACCAGGUGUCUUAUAUGCAAGAACAUGUGUACGUUCUAAAAGUUAAACUUAUCUAGUCCCAGUAUUCUACCAAUGCUAUCCUUUCUAUCAUAUCCUGCUCAACUAUCCUACCCAUCCUCUAUUGUCUAAUAAGUGGUUGGUCUCUUUCACUCUAUACAAUAGAAGGGAUGCAUGCACUUUCCACCAAGUCAUAUAAGAAGGGAAACCGAUAAGAGGCACUAAAUUGAUACCAAUAUGUAGUUUUUUCGCAAACAAUAUCAUGUUGUGGUUCUCCAUAAAAAAUUAAGUUUCUUUCAGUAAUAUUUUAAUGAUUUUUUAAAAAAUACAUCUCCAUAAUUUGGCAUGCCUUUCCAAAAUAUAAAGCUCCACAAGGAUCUGUUUCUCCUUAUGUUGAAAAAGUGCAGCUAUCAAGUUCAUCAUCAAACCAUGAGCAUAGAUAUUUCCAAUGUAUUAUUAAAAAUGACAAAUAUCAACUGAAACCAAGAAUUAAACCAAGUGCUGAAAAGAAAUGCAAUGUCCGAUUUCCUACCUCUAAGGUUAUCACGCAAGGAUAAAAAAUGAAACUGGCAAUUAAAUUAUUAUGUGUUAAGUUUUUCUGUUGGAGCAGGUGGUUCACUACCUUAGCAUUUACCAAAAAAAAAUAUGUUGGCUCAACAUAUUGUUCUUUUCCUGUUAAGUGUCACCACUUUGUAUAUUAUUGUAUUCCUGUUUUCAAAGCACAUAUGAUUGUUAAACAAACGUCAUGGAAAGAGGGUGCGUGCGCGCACGCAAGGAUAAAAAAUUAAAUUGGGAAUUAAGUUAUUAUGUUUUUAUCUUUUAAGUUUGAGCUUGAGGAAGCUUUUGUUUGUUGGUUUUUUUUUAUAAGGGGUGUAUAUAUGUAUAGAUAUAUACAUGUUUUGGUUGCAAUAGAAAAGAAAGAAUGUGUGUAUUGUGGUAGGACCAUGCCUCUUUUUAUUUUGUACAUUUUUAAUGUGGUGGGAAACUAACUGUAAGGCUAACUGAUUGUCCAUAUUUUUUAUUGUCCAAGUUAUUUUCGUUGUCAUUUUUUAUCAUUGAGGAGCAUCCUUUCUAUUGCUCAUAGAACCAUAUAUUAUAGGAGCAAUGUUCCUUUUUAGCAUGUUAUUAGGUUCAAUCAUAAAGAGACAUGAUGGGAACAGAUAGUUGUUGUGGGAUUGCCAUCCUGAGUGAGUUUAAUGGGAUGAUAUGACUAUUGCUAACAGUCAAACUUUUAAAGAAUUGUUAUGAGAAUUGAAGGAGAAAGGGUGUUUGAUAAAUAAUGUUGUUCGAGAAUUGCUCAGGCCAAAAAUACUUAAAAUAGCGUUGCCUUUCAUCUUGAUUUAUCAAUGGAUGCAGGCUACUGCAUAUUUAAGCUAAGACAAAACUUAUGAGGUUUUUGUCGUUUUUGUCGAUGUUUGGGGAGUUGUUUUUGUCGUUUUUGUCGAUGUUUGGGGAGUUCAUAACCUGCACUUUGUAUUUUUGUUAUGAUCAUUGCGUCUAACAUUUUCUCAUUUUUAAUUUUUUUGUCAAUGGUGUUUUCUAUCAAUAACAUCAAGAAAUACAUCUUCCAUGCAUCCCUCCGUGCUCAGGUGUGUCGCGUCUGGGUGCCGAAACUAAACGAUGAAACAAGCAGUUUCAAUUGCUUGUUUGUUGUCAGGUCAGAUAAUUCUUUAUCAUGAUUUUUGUCACGUAACAUUUAUAAGGAAAUAAUUUUCAAUUGCUUGUUUGUUGUCAGGUCAGAUAAUUUUCAAUUGCUUUUUUGUUGUCCACCUCUUUUCUUUUCUUGUAAUUUUCCUUGCAAUCUAACAUUUGAUUUGCUUUUUUUCUAAGGAAAUCCUUAUUUUUCCUUUUCUCACUUUCGUUUAUUUUCUUUAUUUCUAAGGAAAUCCUAACCUCAUUGGCACUGCUGUCCCUAUGGUAUUUUAAUCUAGAGAUUUCUGAGCUUCUCCCAUAUAAGCAUCAAUGCACUGUCUACUCUUCACUCUGAUCCUUUACAUUGUUUUUUGCCAUUUAUUCUUUGCCUUGUAACACACCUUAACCUUUUAUUUCUCAGCUUUGGCCAAAUGCUCCCGCCUUUCGCAAACGCUAUUAGAUCAAUUGAAGAAUAAAUUAAUGAAAAUAGAAAGAUAAUCAAGGAAGUUCUUUGCAUGGAUCCAUAUUAUCACAAGGUACAUUAAAAAACAAUGUCAUUGGUUUUUUUAUUUUAUGCUAUUGAUCAUUUCUUUCUACUUUUGUUUCUUUUUGCAUUGCGUAGCAUGACCGUCUCAUAUGCUUUUUAAAUGUGCAGAAUGACCGAUUCACUUACAGAGCUUCAAUAGCUGACUUGACCUUUAUAGAGGGUGGUGGUACGAUAGUUGUCCCCAGAGCACAAAAUCAUUAUCUGGCGAAGGAAAAGAUCCGAGAUGUACCGAGCAUCCUGCACCGACACCGACACCGACACCAUGGUAAAAAAAAAAAAAAAAGUUAAAAAUAGAAGCAACAAAAGUAACCAUGAUCAAUUUGCGAAAACCAAGUCAAACGGACUCUUGGGCAUGCUAAUUUUUAAAGUAUCAUGUCAAACUCUUUUUUUUUUCCUUAUAAAAAAAGAUUUAAUUUUUUUUUUUGAACAUAGAAAAGUUGCUACAACUCAGGACCAUAGUUAUGAAACCCGGACUGGCGGGUCGACCCGAAACCCGGUCGACCCGGUGGCUGGACCGGUUCGGGUUUGUUAAAAGACCAGCAGGUGCAACAACCUGGCAAAACCCGGGCGACCUGGUGGGUCGACCCAUGACCCGGACGACCCGGGAGAACCGGACGAGACCCGGUUUCUUCUUUAAAUGUGGUUUCUGUGAUUCGGCUUCUCUUCUUUCUUCAUCUUCUCUAUAAUGAGCUGAUGUUUGCAAAUGCUCCAGUCGUCCAUGGAAGCUGGCCCGACAGAGACAAACUGGCUGAGAAAUUUGUUGUCAUGCGCAAGGCCAGUCUUGGAAAAGAACACAUAAAUAAAUGGUUUAUGCUGUUUGAUUUUCAGACCUUUAACGCUGCUAGAAAAUAAGAAUAAUGCAAAAACAAGCAAAUCACCCAUUGAAGAGCUGGGUCUCUUGGUUUGGCUAAUAGGUGGCUGGGAAAAAAAGGGAGGGGCUCUUUAGUUUUGGUCAAGGCAGGGGGAUGAUUGAGAGAGGGACAAGGGAGGUGUGGCUGGGUCUCUGUGGCAAUUGCUUUGCCAAGUGAAAAGGAAAACUUUAUUGGUUUUGAGAGAGAAAAUCCCAAGUAGGGGGGCGGCUUGUUUUUAUUUUUGGUAGAGAUAGGGAAAAUUUAGGGUUGUGAAAUUUUUUUGGUAGAGAUAGGGGGCGGCUUUUAAAUUUUUUUUCUUUUUAAUUAAAAAAUUAACAUAUUAUUUUUUAAUGUAAAAUAAAAAAAUUAAAAUAUUUUUUUAAACUUUAUUAUUUAUAACAUUUAUAGUCUAUAUUCACAUGGAUUUUUUCUUAAUUUUUUCAUAUAAAUAUUCAAACUUUAAUAUAUAUAUUUUUUAAUUUUUCCGGGUUGACCCGAGUUGACCCAUAAAACCCAGGACUCGGCCCUGUAACCGGGUCAAUCCCCGGACCGGGUUUAAUAACUAUGCUCAGGACUCCUCCAAAAUAAAAAUACCCGGUGUCAUUGAGCCGCCAUGCUAAAGUAAUUGUAUCAAUAGUAACGUUUUUUAUUUGGAAAUGUAUUAAAAUAAUAGUUUUUUAUUUUUUAAAUUUAUUUUUGAUAUGCAUUCAUCAAAACAAUUCAAAAACAUUAAAAAUAUAAUUUUAAACAAACAAUAUUUUAACCACAAUUCUAAAAAAAAAAGCAAUCAAUCAACCAAACCCAUUUCCACAGGUACACACGGCCUCUUUAAGCACAGUGUAAAAUUGUAAUGUUGCUUUUGGGGAAAACUGAAUACUGCACCGACCACCUUAUUUAUUAGUCGUUGAGGAAGAAGCUGCUUGUGUACAAUCCUUUAAACAAAUUAAUGAAACUCCCUUUGGCUGUCCAAAACGUGCCCUCAAAGAAAGGAAGAUGACAUUCGUCCAAAGAGAAGGUAGAAAGGACAGAAACCACCGGCUGCAUAUGGCAUUUUCUGGUCCAAAACAAUAUUUUUUUGAAAUUUCACCAUGAUGAUGUUCUUAUGGAACCCCAUCUGUUCUUCCACAACUGCAUUAAUAUCAGAAUAUGCAACCCAGCUAAAAACACAGCAAUUCUCCCUCAUUAUAAGUUGAUUUUCUCAUGUUAGUUGUGUUCAAGUUAAGAAUUUUCUUAAACAGAUUUGAGUUUGUAUGACUGCAAAUCAUAAGAAGCAAGGUCAAAAGAAAAGACAAUAAUGAUGGGCAAUAAAGUUGCAGAAAUGAAGUACGGUCCAUAUGUACAGGUCAAAAAAGGUUCAACUCAUUCUGUUGUAUUUAUUAGUUCCUUCCAGGAACCGACAGUGCUAGGUUGACUAUCGUACAAGAUAAACUGUCACGUCAAAAAAAUAAACUAACAAGCUUAUCCUAGAAUUUCGUAGGGGUAAACAAGGCACGCUUAUCAACGUAUCUUCUUGCUAAAACUGUGGUCCUUCAACCACCAAAACAGAGAAAAGAAUGUUCUUACGUGGUUGAUGAUAGGAACAUGACCAUCCGGCUUCUUUGAGCGAAAUUGUUGAGGGGACCUGCUACAUUGAUUGUUUGACAUUGUACACUUGCUUUAUGUAUGCACCAAGGUUAGUGAUUCCAAACAUAAAUGUGAAUUUUACUUGUUGAAAGAAUCUCAAUGUGUCAUAUAAUAUAUAUCGCAUGGCAGCCUCUGAAUGUCUGUCAUUAUUCUAAUGGUCUGAGGUUUCUGCAAACUGCACCAACUCAAUUUCCAUUGCAAGUAAUCCUCUCCGAUAGUUCUAAGCUGAGCCCAUUAGAAGGACUUGUACCGCAACGAGAAACAAGAUAAAUGAUAAAUGAUACAUAUGCAACCGUGCCACUUCCGAUCAGAAAGCCAAAGAGCAAGCCCUUAACUUCAGAUAUAAAGAAAUCAAUCAAAAGAUACCCAUUGAUCAGGAUAACCAGGACAGCAAUAGUCCACGCCAGUCUCUACAAUAUAAAUGAGCAGAACAUUAGAUACAGAAAAAACGAUGCAAAAGUUUAUAUCAAUUGGGAAUCAUCUUUUAUAUAGAAGAUGAUUGAUCUCAUUUAUACUCAUUUUCAGACACAAUAAAAAUUUGCUGAAAGCACAUAGGUGCUAGUAAAUAAUUGAAAGGUCGUUUGCAGCUUGAGAAGAUUAUAAGAAGUCUUAAACUACAUGAAAUGAUAGAUUUGUCAUGGCCGGCAAUCUAAAUGCUAGAACUACAUAGCAGAUAGAGGAGAAAAUAUGAAAAAUUGGUUUCUUAAUUUAUGAAGUUAAUGCAUAGUCUCUAGACUAACAGAACUUCUUGCUGAUUUGUUUUUCUAUUUACAUAGAGGGACUUUGCAUUUUGUGCAACUGGAAGCCCUUGGCAAUAUAUUCCGCAAAUCAAACUGCAGAUGCAAUACUAUAACUGUUAAAAUGGUAUUGAAAAACCAAUUUAUAGGAACCAAGACCUCUGUAGCCUGAUGUUCUGACAUGAAGAACAACAGGUAUUGAACAUGGAACUUUUCUGGUUCUAUUUCAACCGUGACAGCUACCAAUGUAUCACACAUGACAGCACAGACAACACAAAACUUACUAGAAAUGUGAGUCAACAGUUUACCUCAAGAACAGGCCCGAUUUUAAAUACCCCCAUGACCUGCUCCUUGGCUACCAAGGUCAGAAGAGGGAUAAGUGCGAAAGGAAUCUGCAUCGACUGGAGCACAUUAAGCCACUCAUUCAGAAUAUCCAAAGAAGCUUCAGAUGUGUUGAAAAUGAUGGCAACAAUAAUAGUUGGGAUAAUAGCAAAACUCCGUGUUAUCAAUGCCCUCGUCCAUUUCUUUAAACGCAGGUUGAGAAAACCUCCCAUGAUAAAUUGCCCAGCAUAGGUGCCAGUUAUUGUACUACUUUGUCCAGCAGCCAACAAGCCAAUACCCCAGAUAUAAAGAAUUGGAAAGAGUCCUCCACCGUACUUCUCCUCAAGAUACUGCCCUGCAUUAACUAGUCCUAUACUACUGGCUUGUGGAGUACCAUAAAACCCCUUAGCAAACACGGUUGUAACGAACAAAUUUAUCAUAAAAGAGACAAAAAGAGCUACUGAGGACUCAAUUGAAUAGUAAGUCAGUGCCUCUUGCACCCGGGCUUUCUUCUGAGGAUCGAUCUUUCUAGACUGUACCAAAGCAGAAUGUAAGAACACAUUGUGCGGCAUUAUGACACAACCCACCACACCCACAGCUUGUCGAAUUGUCUUUGAACCAAGUCUUGGAAUUAAAAUACCUACAAGAAGGAUCAUAAUCAAUCAGAAGAAUGGGUGCAGCCAGUGAAGAUAUUCACAGAAACAAAAUCCAAACACUGAACAGCAGAGUUUUCACUUCCUCUACCAAAUAAAAUUCUUACCCUUUAAAAGUUCUUUUCCACUUGGCUUGGCAUCACCACACAUCCAGGCAAAUGAUAAAGCCAUUGUCGCAAUCAGAACCGCAAAAACACCUUCUAACUUCCUUACUCCAUAAUUCUCUAGAAAUAAAAACAUGAAACUGUCCACACAGAAAAGAGAACAAAAAACCCCAGUUAAUAAAACAAAUCAUCAAACAAGUGCAACUAUUAACUACUAUCUUCCAGAACUAAAAAAAACGAGCAUCAGAGAAUUAUCCAAAAAGAUAAGAAUGACAAUUAACGAGCAAUGUUGACUUGAUGACCAACUUCACAACGAAGACAAUAUAACUCGAUCCGAAAUUAUCAGUUUAUUUCAAACCAAAUUCUAUAAAACCUGUCAAAAUCAUAAAAAAAAAUGGAAAAGAAAACAAUAGGAUUUGGAUUCAAGAGUAAAUCCAGCAAAAACCAAAAAUUAUAAACCACAAACAAUUCAACACAGCACAUACCAAUCCGAUGCCGUAAUUAGAACUCCGGCCCAAAGAGGCAAGAACCCAUUACUCAAAAUCUGAAUAGCAAUAGCACUCCCAAUAACCUCCUGUAUAUCAGCACCAAUAAGUGCCACCUCCGCCAUAAACCACAAAAUAUACCUAGCCCAAUUCGAAUACUCAUCUCUACACAACUCCGCCAAGUGCCGCCCCGUCGCGACCCCAACACGAGCUGACAACAUCUGGAUCAACAACCCCAUGACUGUUGCCCACAGUAAGAGCCAUAACAACGAGUACCCAGCAAUCGCCCCUGCCUGAAGAUCCCCUUCUAAAUUCCCUGGAUCUAAAAACGCUAUGCUCAUUAAGAACCCAGGUCCUGUGAAUAGCCAGAGUUUUCUCCAUGAGAAUGGUGGGACAUAAUCAACGGCGUCUAUUGAGUGUGGUCCUUCCACGUCAACGAUCACGAUUUUCUCUCGCGCUUCGAAUGCUACUUCAUCGGAAUAAUUCUCGCUUUGUAACGAUUGAGAUUGUGAUGAGGAUGAUAACGGCAACAGACGGUUUGAUUCCUCAUCUUUUUCGUCGUCUUUAGAAUCCUCUCCUCCAGAUGGCGAACUCAUUUUUUGAAAUUCCGUUUUAAAUUAGAAUAUUCCGUUGUGGAGUGGAGUGGAGAGGUGCAGACAGGGGUGACCUUAAUCUCCGAUAUGGUGAAGUCCGAUGUGAAUUUGUUAGGAUGGUGGAAUUAUGAUUUUAUGUGCUACUGUCUUCUUCUAUUUUAAUGAUGGUUAUUGUAGAGUAGGUUUCAUGUAAUAGAUGAUCAUCGCAGUAGGAUAUUAUAUAGCCAAUCAUGUAUUGACGCGCGAUAAAUUGGUUGGCUUUUUUUACGGAACUUUGAAGAAACAAGAAAUUAUAACUUUGAAAUUGCUUCGAGAGCAUAAAUCUGUUCUCUAUGUUUUUUUUUGGCUGAAUUUUAGUUAAAAUAGCUAGUUUUUUUAAAAAAAUAAUCACAUAAAGAGUUGUAUUAUGUUUUUAAUAAAUUAUUAUAUAUGUACUAAAAGAAAUGGUGUUUUCCUAAAAAGAAAAGAGGUAAAAUUAUAAAAUAAUAAUAAUAAUACACUGUAUAUCACGUGGAUGAAUGGGAUAUGAUAGAAAUUGCAGCAGAAAGGCCCACGAGAAAAUGUGAACAGAAAGAAGGACGAUGAGCACCAUUCUUUUUCCUCAUGGAAGAAGGAAUUCAUGCCAUCCAGCACAACGAGCGAUGCGAGACAAGGCAUAUGCUGACUUCUCAUUGUCUUCAAAAAAGCAACGAUGAACAUCUCAUGGCUGUAGCCUGGUAGGCCGUGGCAUCUCAGCUCAUGGCCAUUGACUUGAGCUAAUGAAGGUAACAUGCGUGGAAGCAGAUGAUGUUUGAGGUACUUUUUGUAGAUUUCUUGCUUUUAUUGCCGCAUGGUAGCCAAUUCCCUGUCGUUUAAUUCUGAUUUAAAAAACAAAGAAGGAGUCAUAAAUAUCCAUGAAUCGAAGGAACGAUCCUUACGCAGUCUAUAACACAACGUUCAAUAACCACGACGAAAUAAACAGCUUCAGUUUUUGAUGGUCAUGGUACAAGUGAAGAAGUACUAAACAGAGAAUAAUCGGAAGAAGAGACUAACUAUGGAUCCGGAUGGUACACAGAUUUGAUUCCCACAUUAUCAUCUAAAAUAAAAAUAAAAUCGUAUGGAUGGCACAAUGUGAAUGAUUAGUACUAAGACCACAAUUAGCCUUAAAAUGACAGGUUUGUGUCCAAGCACAUGAACUAUCCUGGGUGCUGUCGCUUGGAUGCAGAGCCAAGCUAUUUUUUAUAUAAAAAAUAAUAUAUAGGUAUUUAAAUGAGAUUAAAAAAAGAUAUGAAAAAUUAGUCAUGAAAAAAUAUAUAACAACGCUAAUUAGAGUUAAGUCAACACGAGAUAUUCCAUCAAAUUCAAGAUCUAGAUUAUAUAACUAGAAUAACUCAAUAAAAAAAAAGAAUUAUAAAGCCUUUUAAAAAAAGUGUAUUAACUUUUUUAACAUUUGACCUAAGUCAUUAAAUCCGAAGCACUCGAUUUAGAAAAUUUUAUGAAGUUGAAAAAUUAAAUAUUAAAAGAUGAAAUUGAAAAAAAAAAUUCAAUCAUACAAAAUAAUUUUAAAAAACAGCAAUUCAAAUAAUGAAGAUCAAAAUUAUUAUUACUACUAUUAUUAAUAAGUAAUAUCAUCACUGUUAUUAUUAUCUCUAUUGUUAUUAAAACUAUUGUCGUUUUUAUUAUUGUUAUUACUAACACUAAUAUUGCUAUUAUUAUUUAGUAGUAGAAGUCGUAUUAUUAUUAUUUUCACAACUAUUACCACUAUCAUCAUCACUAUUAUUAUUAUGGUUACUAUUACUAUUGUCAUUAUUAUGUUAUUAUCACUACUGUUAUUAUUAAUAUUUUUAUUAUCAUUCUUCUUCUUUUUCUUCUUCUUUAUAUUAUUAUUAUUAUUAUAACCAUAAUUUUUGUUAUUAUUAUCAUUAUCAUUAUCAUUACAUUUAUUAUCAUCAUCAUUACUACUAUUAUUAUUAUAACAAACUAUUAUUACUACUACUAUUACCACUAUUAUCACCACCACUACCUAUAUCAUUUUUAUUAUUAUUACCAUUACUAUAACAAUUAUCACUAUCAUUACUAUUAUUAUCAAAAUUAUUUUCAUUAUCACCACUAUCACCAUCAUGAUAAACUAUUAUUAUUAUUAUUACUAUUACCAUUAUUAUCAUUAUCAAUAGUAUUACUAUUAGUGUUGUUGUUGUUGUUGUCACAAUUAUUAUCAUUGAAAAAACAAAAAUCAUAAACUUGAUUUAAAUAAUAAAAUUGAAAGCCAUAAAAAAUUUGACAAGAGGGCAAAGGGAAAAAAAAUAAGAAAUUAAAAGUAGAAAGACUGAAUUGAGAAAAAAAUAUACAAAUUAAAAACCAAGGGUUAAAUUAAAAAUAAAUAAAGCUUUAUCAGAAAUGAAAAAUAACAAAAAUACAAAUAUUAAAACUAAAAAGAUCGAAUCUGAAAUACCAAUAACAAUGAGGACUAUGGUAUAUUAAUUUGUCGAAGUAGAAGAGAGAAAUGAGAGGGAAAGAAAAGAACCAAUCAUAUUUGAACGACACGAGCCAAUUCUAAUGGAAAAGACUAUUAUUUUUUUUACUCUUGGAGUUUUUUUAUUAUUUUAUUAUUUAUUAAAAUGUUGAAUAGAAAAAAAAUACUCUCAAACAAAUUAAUAAUAACUAAUAUAUCAUGUAAAAAUAUGAAAAUAUCCCUAAUUAAAAGACAAUCAUUUUUUUUUAAAACUAAGAUCAUAAACAUCACUCCAUUAUUUUAAUGAUUUAAUGAAUAGUAAAGAGUGUCAAUCUCCACAGUAAAAUCAACUUCCCCUUUGGAAUGUUUUUUAUUAGCCACGCCAAAUCUAGGUAUACGCUAAGGAUGCCAAAAGAGUCUUCUGAUGCACUUGCGUGACAUUGCAUAUCUCCACCAAGACCCAACCAGAAGGCGACAAAGACAAGAGAAGGCCUAAUUUCAUUGACAAAAAACAUCACAUAAUGUUUGAUCGUACUGCAAAUCACAAUCCUACAAUUUCUUGUCCGCAUUGCUUGCUAUACACGUCCAGACUGGGUAAGAAACAGGCUUAGAGACAGGAGACAUGAUGUACGAUAAAAUUACUCGUGCGAUCGAGGACUAAAAGCAAAGGCAGCCAUUUUGUUUUAUCAUCCUCCUUUCUCCAUGAUGCAUGUGCAAUGUGCAUGUAUUAUUGCUGGUUCCCAUCAUUAAUAAAGCAUUUUAUCUUUAAUAACAUGGGCCAUGCAUGCCCGGAUCUACGAUUUAACGGGCAAUUUAUUUUCCAUUCACAAAGCAACACAUGUGGCUAGACCGCUGUCUUCGUGUCAAAUAGGAGUCAUGGCAGAAUGUAUAUAGCUGGUAUUGUUUUUUAAAAGUUUUUUUUAUUUGAAAAUAUAUUAAAAUAAAUAUUUUUUAAUUUUCACAUUAACAUAUAAAAAACCAUUAAAAAAUAUUAAUUUAAUAUUUUUUUCAGAUAAAAUAUACUUGACAAAUUAAAACACGCAAAGUUAUCAUACUCUUAAAUACAAUACCCUGAAUACUUACUGAGAAAAAAGUUUGAGCAUGCUUGGGCGUGGCCGACAUAUGGCUUUCAAUGGCUGGGCCUUUGCCAUGGUGAAACCAGGCCUCUCGGUCAUAUCCACCGAUUUAUCAUCCAUUCUCUGCCACUCAAAACACUGAAUCAGCGAGCCCAAUGCCAACCCCACCAUUCUUAAGGCCAAGCCUUCUCCAGGACAGCUCCUCCUGCCAUACCCAAAAGGCAUCAGCCUAAAACCAUCUCUAGCCCCCUCCAGGCCAUUAAAUCUCUCAGGCCUGAAUUUCCUUGGGUCCAACCAGAUUUUAGGAUCAUUGUGUAUGGCCCACAUGUUCACAAAUAGCAUAGUGCCACGUGGAAUGCGGAACCCUCCAACCAGGCAUUCCUCUGAUGAUUCAUGAGGUACUAGCAGUGGAGCUGGUGGGUACAUCCUUAGUGUUUCAUUUAUGAUGCUUCGGAGGUAAGGAAGUUGGGCAAGAUCGGCUUCAUCAAUUAGACGAUCAGGUCCGAUAUACUCGUCGAUUUCUUUUUGAGCCUUCAGGAGGACUUCCGAAUGGUUGAGCAGGAGUGAAAGUGCCCAUUCCAUUAUACUAGAUGAAGUGUCUGUUCCUGCAAAUAGGAGCACCUACACUCGGAAACAAGAUGUUGUGAUGAUCAGUAGCAGUUAGAGAGUCGACAAAAGCGACGCAAACCGAAUUACCAUCAAGUGAUCUACCAAAUCCAUAAUGGCUGUGAAAUUAUUAUGACCUGUGUAUUGCGGUUACUUGAAUAUUUUAGUAAUACAACACUACAAGUCCAGCAGAUUUCAUCCACCAUGGUUAAAAAAGUUGCACAGCGUUGUCGCUUUAUUAUGUUUCUCGAUCACAUUCCACUGUCAUCUUAAUUUCAAUGAUUCCCAUUACAAAAUGACUAAUAAAAGGAGAUAAUUUUUUCAUCAGAUCGCAGUCAUUUUAAGUUUGACGAUUCCCAAUAUAGAGUACGGGCGGAUUUUGAAUUAUUGUCUAAUUACCCUGUUGAUGAGAAUGUUAUGUAAAUCGAGCAAAUGAUCACAGAUUCUUACCAGCAUAAGCCCUUUGAUAAUAUCAUCCGUGUAAUACUCAGGUUCGGUUUCUUGCAAUGAAAGCAGAACCUGAAUCAUAGUCCUUUUCCUUUCACCACAACAAUCACUCUCCAAAAGUACUCUCCUUUGUUCUUCGAUCAAGCACUGCAUGAAACUGUCCCUCUUCACUCGGCACUCUAUCAAUCUCUUCUCCAUCUUCUUUGAUUUAAUCCAUGGUACGUAGUCUCCGAUUAUGGUUUGGCCAAUUAGCGUAUACAUCUCAGCAUGAAUCGCACGAAACCUUUGUGCUUGUUCCACAUCAGAAACAUCGUCUCCAUAAUACCUCUUUCCAGCUAUCAUCCGCAUGAUGAUGUUCAGAGUCAGUUCGAGGAAUGCUUUCUUCAUAUCCACCACCUGGUUCUGAUUACGAAAGAGCCAGCCGAUCAUCCAUUUUACCUCCUCUAGGUGUGUGGCAGAGUGCAUCUGGAGGCGAUAUGCAGAUAAGACUUCAAUAGACACGAUCUUUCUAAGGUUUCGCCAGUGGUCACCGUAGGAUGCCCAAAACAGGUUUGUACAGUUGUAACCAAGGUGUUUUCCAAUGAGUAGACGAGGGCGGUUAGCAAAGACAACGUCGUUUUUGGUAAAGCAUUCUUCAGCUAUUGAGGGGGAUGAGACAACAAGGACUCGACGGGAUCCGAGUCGUAGCAAGACAACGAGCUGGCCAUAUCGAUUGGAUAUAUUGGACAGGGUCCUGUAAAUUGGCUUCUUAAACAGGUAGAGAUGGCCAAUGAUCGGGAGUGAAAGGAAUGGACUAGGCGGGAGGUUUUGGAUCUUGUCUAGGAGGUGUCUUGUGAUCAUAUACAAGGCUAAAAAAACAGGAAAAUAGAGAAAUAGUGUCGCCAUGAUCAAUUUGCCAAUGGCGAAUCUCCUCGUCGUUCGAAGGAGUAUUACGUUAAACCCUGUGCCUUGAUGAAGCUAUCUGUGGAUUAUAAAAGAAACGCAGUUGAAGCUUGUUAAAGUAUAUACCUUUGAUCAAGUCUGCCAAAGAAACAAUCAUGCUAGCUCGACCUUUGUCUAGAUUUGAAUUUGAGUUGAAAUGUCGACAUACAAAGGCCACCUACACUAAGAGACGACCAUAAAUUACCGAAAGCAGUACUUUCAGAAGUGGAAAAAAAGGCCAUGGAUUAAUCUCUAAAUUUUGAAACACGGCCGUGAAUAUCAAGCAGACAAUGGUCAUAGGACCAAAUAAAUUGAGUAGCCAUCAAUUCAUAUCGGCCUAGCUUUUUUGCUCUGCAUAUGUUCUGAAUGAGGAAUCAGCAACAAAACCGAAAAGAAAAUAGCAAGAAGAUUGUCGUGGCUCAAAAAAGACCAGUAAUAAAGAACAUGUAUAGCACAAAUGUCACAUCAUCUUUUAUUCUCAGCUAGAUAAGAAACAGCAUCUCUUCGAUAGUUUCCAAGUCAUCACAGUCUAAUAGCAAUAAUUGCACUAAAGUGGGCAUCGAACAAAAGUGAAAUUAUUAUUUUCCCAAUGGUAAUUACAACUUUUCACAAAUUUCAUUGGUAAUUUUAAAAUUGCAUGGCUUAGUCUUUUUAUAUUUUUUAAAUAUUCUUACGUAAUUAUUUUUAAAAUCAAAAAGUUAUUUAAAUUGAAAUUGAGUUUUUUUUUUUAUAUUUCACUUUUCACUGUUUUCAGGACACAAAUAAAAAUGAUUUCUUUGUCUUUAAUAUCAAGAUUUUCUUACAUUUUCUCCCGUGGCUUGUUCAUAUUUUUAUUUUGGUUUUUUUUGUGUGAUUAUUAUAUGAUUUUAGAGGAAAAUUUGGUGUUUAUAAAUACAAAAAAAUAAAAAAUAAAAAGUUGUUGACACAUGCAUUAAAUGUGCUAGUAAAUAAAUCACUUCAUCGUGUUUAAGCGACAUUUUACAUUGACUUAUAGCGACAAAAAUUAACCUUCUAUAAAGUUUUUUUAUUCGUCAUAGCAAGACCUACCUCUCUAGAGGUAUGUAAGUGUAAUUUUUAGGGGUGAUUAUUUUCGGUUCGGUUCAGUUUUUAUCAAAAAAAGUAAUCAAACCGAAAUUAUUAUUUUUUUGAAAAAAAACCAAAACCGAACCGAAACCGGGUCAAACCGACCGGUUUCGGUUCUGUUCGGUUUUUUUAGGGCAAAAACCGGUUCAAACCGGUUUGGCUCGGUUUUUUCCGGUUCUGGCUCGGUUUUUUUCGGUUUGGCUCGGUUUUUUUCCGGUUUUUUGUCGGUUUCGGUUCAGUUUUUUUGGUUUUUUGUUUAUAAAACCGAACCGGCCGGUUUUUUCAAAAAUUUAAUCGGUUUAAUCGGGUUUUUUUUCGGUUAUUUUUUUUUCCGGUUUUCUCGGUUUAAUCGGUUUUCCGGUUUUUUUACUCACCCCUAGUAAUUUUCUUUGGUUUGGAACUAGAUAUCUCUCUCUCAUCUUCUUCUUCAUUCCCGCGUUUGAUUGACCUUUCAAAUUUUUAUAACCCUUCAAUUUAUUUAUUUUUCUGAUUUGGUUUUUAUUUUUCAAUCAAUAUUUUUUUUAUUUGAAUUAUUUUAAAUAUUAAAAUUUAUUUUCAAUUUCAUUCCCCAUUAAUUUUUUAAUCUGUCACAUUUAGUAAAUUAAUAUUUUUUUUUAUUUUAGAUCAUUUUAAAAUUGAUUUUUGAUUAAAUUACUUUAUGCAUCCUAUAAUUUGAUUAUUUUUUUACUUUGGAACGAAGUUCUCAAAUAUUACACUUUGCAACAUGAAAUUUAAAGACAAAUAACACUUUAUAUCCUUAGUAAUUGGUGCUAGAAAAAAAAUCAAUAAAACAUAUGUAUUUAUUUAUAAAUCUAUUAUUAUAUUUGAGAUAAUGUCUAAACAACCCUUUCUUUUCAAAACAUAACGGCGAAUAAACAAACAAAUUAGAAACAAAAUUAGAAAACCCUAUCUAUUACGAUUUGUUUGAGUUCAUUUUUUUUUAGAUCAUGUAAGUUUUUUAAUUUUAUCAUUCAAUAUUUUUCUAUAGAAUUUUCACUAAUUCUGAAAAUAACAUAAAUUAUCUCAAUUAUUUUUAUUUGUCAUUCUUUUUUAAAUUUAUAUUUUUUAAAAAAUAAAUUUUGGUUUUGAAUUAAAUUAAUUAAAUUGAUUUCUUAAAUAUAAACAUGUCAUGCUACUCCAUGAUGUUUUUGUUUUCUUAAAUAUAGCUUUUUGGGGUCAUUUUUUUUAAUUGAUUGGUUUUUAUUAUUAUUAUUAGGCUUCAAUAUUUUGUUUAUUAUAAUUUAAUUUCCUAUUUUGUUUAGAUUUAGGUUUCAUGGGAUUAUCACAUUUCUAAUAUAAAAAAAAACAACAAGGAAAAUAAAAAAAGAUUUUGAAAUAAUAACAUUCAGACUUAAUUUAUGCUUGUAAAGGAAAACAGAUAGCUGGCAAGCUGGUUGCUUGAAAAUAAAUAGGUAGUUAAAAUAAUCUAAAAAAAUUCAAGCCUAAUUCAAAAGUCAAGAAUAGAUCUAGGAUUUAGUUUGUUUCAAUGAAAGUCUUCGAGCACAUCCUCUCCUUAUACUGUUAUAUGGUUUAAGUGUUUUGCAAUUUCGAAUAAUAAAAGUUCCACUUGAUCUAGAGAUUGUGAGGAGAUUAUUUGCACUAUUUCUUAAGCCCUCUCAAUACCCUAACUGACCUCCACUCUUGCAUUGUGAAAUGGGAUGUUGCUACCAUCUUCGUUCGUCAAACAGGCCAACCAACAAUGAUAUUAAUUUAGGAAUAAAAAAAAAAACUGACAAAUUAAAAAAAGAAUAACCGAAAAAACCGAACUGUGAAAAAAACCGAUUAAAUUUUAAAAAAACCGACCGGUUCGGUUCGGUUUUAUAAGCUUGAAACUGAAAAAACCGAACCGAACCCAAACCGGAAAAAAACGAGCCAAAUCGAGAAAAACCAAGCCAAACCGAUUUGACCGGUUUUUGUCCUAAAAAUCGAACCGAACCGAAACCGGUCGGUUUGAACCGGUUUCGGUUCGGUUUCUUUUUUUUUUAAAUCGGUUUUGUUACUCUUUUUUAUGAAAACCGAACCGAACCGAAAAUGACCACCCCUAUAUCAAUUGAUGCAACAAAUAUGGGUUUUUUAGUCUUUAAAUCUUGUUAUCAAAUUAUAUUCUAAUUCAACAAUUAAAUAUAAAAUUACACUUGUUUUUAUGGUAUUAGCGUUAGAGUAUUUCAAAACUUUUUAAGACCUAAAAAAAAAUCUUGACAAUUAAAGAAAGUAAACUCAUGAGUGAAAUAAAGUUAGAAAUCAUCGCAGGUACUGAUAUCGCAGCUAAACAAUGGUCCCAGUAAUGAUAUUAAAUACAUAUGAGGCUAGCUCGGUUACUUUGCAUUGGAAGGAAAAGUAAAUGAUAUUAGGCCAGAGACUGUGACCUUUUACAACUAAUAAACUUGGCAAAUUAAUAUCUUCUGUUCAGCAAGCAGCAUACAGCCUCCUUCAAAUUUGAGAAAGAAGGUUUGCCAUCGAUGGACGGGAAGUGCAUCUGGCCAGUAAAGGCUGAGCCUUGGGCAUAGUGAGUCCAGUCCCCCCUGUCAUGUCCACCAUUUCCUGGCUAACCCUGUCCCAUUCGAAACACUGAAGUAAUGACCCCAGAGUCAAUCCAACCAUGCGUAUGGCCAAACCUUCCCCAGGACAUCUCCUCCUUCCUGACCCGAAAGGCAUCAAUUUGAACCCAUCUCUAACUCCCACGGAACCUUCGAACCUUUCUGGCUUAAAUUUUGCUGCGUCGUC